UUGAACGCUGGCGGAAUGCUUUACACAUGCAAGUCGAACGCCCUGAUUUUUCGCAAGAUUGAUCAGGGAGUGGCGAACGGCUGAGUAACGCGUAAGUAACCUACCCUUAAGUGGGGGAUAACUUGCCGAAAGGCAGGCUAAUACCGCAUGUGCUGGUAAGCGCUAGCUUAUCAGCAAAGCUUUUGCGCUUGAGGAGGGGCUUGCGUCUGAUUAGAUAGUUGGUAGGGUAAUGGCCUACCAAGUCGAUGAUCAGUAGCUGGUCUGAGAGGACAACCAGCCAGACGGGGACUGAGAUACGGCCCUGACUCCUACGGGAGGCAGCAGCAAGGAAUUUUGCGCAAUGGGCGAAAGCCUGACGCAGCGACGCCGCGUGGGGGAUGACGGCCUUCGGGUUGUAAACCCCUUUUCAUGAGGAAGAAAUAUGACGGUACUCGUGGAAUAAGUCUUGGCUAACUACGU
rnacentral:rRNA from 1 species